ACGUAGGAGGCGAGCGUUAUCCGGAUUUACUGGGCGUAAAGGGCGCGCAGGCGGUUGGCUAAGUUCGUUGUGAAAGCGCCCAGGCUUAACCGGGCGAGGACAAUGAAGACUGGUCAGCUAGAGGCAGGUAGAGGCAAGUGGAAUUCCGGGUGUAGUGGUGAAAUGCGUAGAGAUCCGGAGGAACACCAGUGGCGAAGGCGACACGCUGGGCCUGGCCUGACGCUCAGACGCGAAAGCACGGGGAGCGAACGG
rnacentral:rRNA from 1 species